rnacentral:rRNA from 1 species
GAUGAACGCUGGCGGCGUGCCUAAUACAUGCAAGUCGAGCGAAUGGAUUAAGAGCUUGCUCUUACGAAGUUAGCGGCGGACGGGUGAGUAACACGUGGGUAACCUGCCCAUAAGACUGGGAUAACUCCGGGAAACCGGGGCUAAUACCGGAUAACAUUUUGAACCGCAUGGUUCGAAAUUGAAAGGCGUCUUCGGCUGUCACUUAUGGAUGGACCCGCGUCGCAUUAGCUAGUUGGUGAGGUAACGGCUCACCAAGGCAACGAUGCGUAGCCGACCAGAGAGGGUGAUCGGCCACACUGGGACUGAGACACGGCCCAGACUCCUACGGGAGGCAGCAGUAGGGAAUCUUCCGCAAUGGACGAAAGUCUGACGGAGCAACGCCGCGUGAGUGAUGAAGGCUUUCGGGUCGUAAAACUCUGUUGUUAGGGAAGAACAAGUGCUAGUUGAAUAAGCUGGCACCUUGACGGUACCUAACCAGAAAGCCACGGCUAACUACGUGCCAGCCGCCGCGGUAA